rnacentral:pre_miRNA from 1 species
UAGGACUGCUGGGUGAAUUAGGUAGUUUCAUGUUGUUGGGCCUGGGCUUCUGAAAACAACAACAUCAAACCACCCGAUUCACGGCAGUUAAG